rnacentral:rRNA from 1 species
GUUCGAUCAUGGCUCAGAUUGAACGCUGGCGGGAUGCUUUACACAUGCAAGUCGAACGGCAGCAGCACGGACUUCGGUCUGGUGGCGAGUGGCGAACAGGUGAGAGUAAUGUAUCGGAACGUGCCUAGUAGCGGGGGAUAACUACGCGAAAGCGUAGCUAAUACCGCAUACGCCCUUCGGAGAAAGCGGGGGACCUUCGGGCCUCGCACUAUUAGAGCGGCCGAUAUCGGAUUAGCUAGUUGGUGGAGUAACGGCUCACCAAGGCGACGAUCCGUAGCUGGUUUGAAGGACGACCAGCCACACUGGGACUGAGGCACGGCCCAGACUCCUACGGGAGGCAGCAGUGGGGAAUUUUGGACAAUGGGGAAACCCUGAUCCAGCCAUCCCGCGUGUGCGAUGAAGGCCUUCAGGUUGUAAAGCACUUUUGGCAGGAAAGAAACGGCACGGGAUAAUACCCCGUGCAACUGACAGUACCUGCAGAAUGGCACCGGCUAACUACGUGCCAGCAGCCGCGGUAAUACACGUAAGUGCAAGCGUUAAUCGGAAUUACUGGGCGUAAAGCGUGCGCAGGCGGUUCGGAAAGAAAGAUGUAUGAAAUCCCAGAGCUUAACUUUGGAACUGCAUUUUUAACUACCGAGCUAGAGAGUGUGUCAGAGGGAGGUGGAAUUCCACCCGAUGUAGCAGUGAAAUGCGUAAAUAUGCGGAGGAACACCGAUGGCGAAGGCAGCCUCCUGGGAUAACACUGACGCUCAUGCACGAAAAGCGUGGGGAGCAAACAGGAUUAGAUACCCUGGUAGUCCACGCCUAAACGAUGUCAACUAGCUGUUGGGGCCUUCGGGCCUUGGUAGCGCAACUAACGCGUGAGAUUGAGCCGCCUGGGGAAUUACGGUCGCAAGAUUAAAACUCAAAGGAAUUGACGGGGACCCGCACAAGCGGUGGAUGAUGUGGAUUAAUUCGAUGCAACGCGAAAAACCUUACCUACCUGACAUGUCUGGAAUCCCGAAGAGAUUUGGGAGUGCUCGCAAAGAGAACCGGAACACAGGUGCUGCAUGGCUGUCGUCAGCUCGUGUCGUGAGAUGUUGGGUUAAGUCCGCACAACGAGCGCAACCCUUGUCAUUAGUUGCACCCGAAGGGCACUCUAAUAUGAGACUGCCGGUGACCGGAGGAAGGUGGGAUGACGUCAAGUCCUCAUGGCCCUUAUGGUGAAGACCACACGUCAUACAAUGGUCGGGACAGAGGGUCGCCAACCCGCGAGGGGAGCCAAUCCCAGAAACUUGAUCGUAGUCCGGAUCGCAGUCUGCAACUCGACUGCGUGAAGUCGGAAUCGCUAGUAAUCGCGGAUCAACUGUCGCGGUGAAUACGUUCCCGGGUCUUGUACACACCGCCCGUCACACCAUGGGAGUGGGUUUUACCAGAAGUAGUUAGCCUAACCGUAAGGAGGCGAUUACCACGGUAGGAUUCAUGACUGGGGUGAAGUCGUAACAAAAGGUAG